GCUGGGCAUGGUGGCACAUGCCUGUAAUCCCAACAGCUCAGGAGGCUGAGGCAGGAGGAUUAUGAGUUCAAAGCCAGUCUCAGAAACUCACUGAGGCCCUAAGCAACUUGGUGAGACUCUGUCUCUA
rnacentral:sRNA from 1 species